rnacentral:rRNA from 1 species
UACGGGGGGGGGGCAAGCGUUGUUCGGAAUUACUGGGCGUAAAGGGCUCGUAGGCGGCCAACUAAGUCGGACGUGAAAUCCCUCGGCUUAACCGGGGAACUGCGUCCGAUACUGGAUGGCUUGAGUUCGGGAGAGGGAUGCGGAAUUCCAGGUGUAGCGGUGAAAUGCGUAGAUAUCUGGAGGAACACCGGUGGCGAAGGCGGCAUCCUGGACCGACACUGACGCUGAGGAGCGAAAGCCAGGGGGAGCAAACGGG